GGGAAAUACUAGUUCUGUGCCUUGGGAGGGGGGGCUGAGUUUUAAACCAAGAAACUGCUGCGGCAGUGACUCCUAGGUCAUCCAAAAUAACUGCAGAGUCUGGAAGGACUACUUGGCCUGAGUAGGUGCUGAGACCCUUUUGGAGUGUAUGACACUGCUUGUCAACCAGAAGGAGUAUGUCCUCCACGGUUCGGGACAGGAUUUCAAAGAUGCAGGGCAAGGGCUGAAGAGACCCCUGGGUGUUCCCGAGUGCUCCGUGGGGAUUACAGCUGUGCUGUGGCCCUGAGCCGGCCGGUACCUCCUCCACCUGUAGCUCACCGGAGAGGAGACAGGGCUUGGGCGGAGCCCACUUUCCAAGACAGGUGGCUGUGAAGUCGCCCUUCACCCUUGACUGCACCCGGACUGACUGCCCAGGGAAGGGACAGAGGGAGGCAGAGGGGGCAGGCCUUUCAGGUCUCGGGGAGCAGGAGCAGCGCUCUCCACUGUGGCCCUCACCUGGCGGCUUUGGGACCCCGCUUCCAGACGCGCCCUGAACGUGGGUGCGUGUUUAAAAUGCACACGUGUGCACGUACCCCCAACCGGGAAGCCCCCUUCCUUGGGUGGGAGGUUCUGGAAGGCUGGUCCGAGGUGGAUGGGAACCCGAGAAGGAAGGUGGGGAGGGCGGGCGGGUGGGGAUGGGCGACUCACCUGGGGCAACUUUCUCAGGCCCAGCCCAGCAGGUGUUUGGGUGGCGCCACCUCGUCUGCCCUGGCGGCGGUGGCGCUUCCGGCCCUGACACGGAAUCCGUCGCGGGGAGCGGGGAGCGCGGGGCCAGGCUAACCUGGUGGAAGCCUCGUGGAGCACAGAGCUGAUGUCAGGCCCACGGGAGAGCAGUGGGCAGCGAGCGCUUCAGCCUCCUACCGCCAGGCCCUGACCAGCUGUCAGCACCAGCAGAAGCAAGGUGACGGAUCCUUUCAGCUCCAGCGUGCUAUCUGGAAUCCUCCUGCCCUGGAAGUAGAUCGGUCCUCUGAGAUCAGGCUGGGAUGCAGCCAGCAUACAGCAGAGCUAUUUGUCCACCUGUCUUCUGCCUUGAUGGUAUCACAGCAGAGUAUUUCCCUUCCUGACCCGCACAGCAAUCUGUGGUAGUUUUUUUGUAUUUUCCAGAAAGGCUGCAAAAAUAUUUCUGAUCCCACAUGCUCUUCUAGAACCUUGCCACUCCAACAGCAUGGGGUGGAGUCUGUCUCCUGCCCUGGAACCUGGGCUGGCCAUUGUGAAUGCAAUGGAAGGGAUGCUCUGUGAAUUCCAAGGCUAGUUCAUAAAAGCUCAUACAACUUGCCCUAGUUUUCUCUCACCCUCUCUCUCUUUUUCUCUCCCUCAGACUCAGGACAUUCACCCUUGGUAUGUAGCUGUCAUUUUGUGAGGAAGCCCAAGAUGCAGAGAGAGACCACGUGUAGGUGUUGCCAGCAACAGCUGCCAUCUCGGCUGACACUACACCUGUCACCCACUAGACACAUGGAGUGAGAAAACCCUUGAGAGGCCUCCAGACACUCCCACCAUCUGACCACAACUGCACGCAAGAUCCUGAGUGAGAACACCUGGCGAAGUCCAGUCAACCCCAGAACUGUAAGAAAAAUUAUAUAUAUAUAUAUAUAUAUAUAUAUAUAUAUAUAUAUAUAUAUAUAUAGCAAUAUAUAUAUAAUAGCAUAGCAUAAAGUCGUUGUUUAUGCCAUCCAGUUUGGGGUGAUUUCCUACACAGCAAUUGGUAACCUGCACAUGAGCUGAAAAAAUAAGACAUUAUGCUGUUUAAGAAGGGUAAGCUUGGGGCCCCUGGUAGCUCAGUCGGUUAAGGGUCUAACUCUUGGUUUCAGCUCAGGUCAUGAUACUGGGGUCGUGAGAUCAGGCCUUGUGUUGGGCUCUGAGCUCUGUGAGAAGUCUGCUAAAGUUUCUCUCUCCUUCUCCCUUCACCCUCCCUAUGCUUGCACAUGCACACUCUCUCAAAUAAGUAAAUAAAUCUUUUUUUUUUUUUAAAAAGGAUAAUCUUAAAAUAUCUUGUUCAUGUAAUCUCCUGCAAGGACUUUGAAAAACCAUGUAUCUGCCCACACCUUUUUAAGUUGCUUUCUACAAUUUUUGUUAUACCUUUAAAUGGCUGCAAAAUAAAAUUUCACACAAAAUCAUGACAUCAUUCUCUUAAGUACAUCCACUAGAAUAUCCACACAAUUUGAUAGCUAUGAUCACCCAUGUUUAAAACACAAGAACCUGGGCAGCCCGCGUGGCUCAGUGGUUUAGUGUUGCCUUUGGCCCAGGGUGUGACCCUGUAGACCUGGGAUCGAGUCCCACAUCAGGCUCCCUGCAUGGAGCCUGCUUCUCCCUUUGCCUGUGUCUCUGCCUCUCUCUCUCUCUCUCUCUGUAUCUCGUAUGAAUAAAUAAAUAAAAUCUUAAAAAAUAAUAAAAUAAUAAAAUACAAGAACCUUGGGCACCUGGGUGGCUCAGUCGGUUAAGUGUCUGCCUUGGGAUCAGGCCAUGAUCUCAGGGUCCUGGGAUCGAGCCCCGCGUUGAUCUCCCUGUUCAGCAGGGAGUCUGCUUCUCCUUCUCCCCCUCCCCCAGUUCAUGCUCUCUCUCUUUCUCUCUCUCUCUCUCAAAUAAAUAAAUAAAAUAUUUAAAAAAUAAAAUACAAGAACCAUUUCUCCUUUUGGAGUCAGAAAUUUCACAUUGUUCCUUUUUUUCCUUGACCUGGUGUUACUAGUCCAAGUCCCUCACAAAGUUUCAUUCUGUGUUUGCAUUUGAAAAUCAUUUCUCAUCCUAUUGUGCCUUUCUGCAAAAAGAAUACAUGCAUGCACGUACAUAUCGAAAUUAUAAGUGUUUUUGUUUCCAGUUAUCACAAAACAUUCCUCAAUGCUUAAAAAUUUUUAUACACAUUAAGAUAAUAUUUUACAGAAAAUAACAUGGGUAAAAACUGUUUUUCAGUUAUUUUAAGUAUCCACAGAUGAAUAUUACUAUUGUAUAGAAUGAGCCAGAGUUCAACAUGAAUUUUAAUCCCUGUUUGUAUUUGUAUAGAUUUAAGUGCCAAGAAAUCUCACUCACAUAAAGAAGUAGAUGGAGUUGGAAGCAGUUUUGAUAGAGCAAUGUCAUUGAUUCUUUCAACCUCGUCCAAGUCACAUGCUAAAAAUUGCACAGCAAUUCAGUCUCAAAGUUUAUUUUUAGUGUUCUAUACCAUGACAACUCGGUCACAUCCAGCUUCCAUUUUAUUGGUGGCAAAGAACUGGAAAUCACUUGGCUUGAAUGUUUCCUGGGGAAAUGUUCUGGAGACUGACAGGAGGAGGAGAGGGCUUUAGAGGGCGAUGGGAACUUCAGCCAGCCUUCAGUUCCUCUAGGAGGUGGAACCCUCUAGGGGGUUCCACAUUUCACCUCUGCCUCUAGGGGGUGACCCUGGGCUUCCUGGGCCAUGAGGGCCUCGCCAACUCUCUUCUCUGCAGGGGCCCCCUGGCAAACAUGGGCUACAGUGUGUGUCUCUGCUUUCCAGACUCCUUGUCCUUGUGGGUCGACAUGUCUGGAUGGAGAGGAUAGAGCUGCAUGUGAUCCUUCUCCCCCCAUUCUUAACUGGUACCGAAGUCACUACUUAACAGAAAGUGGAGUUCUUAGACUUACCCACACCAAUGUCUUACACUCUAGAGCCUAGGGUGGAAAUCAUUUACACAGGAACAGCAUGAUUUUUUGAACAUGCUCAGUGACAGAUUUUCUAUAUUGAAAUUUCUGGAAGUCAUUUGGAUGAAAUGCCUCAAUUAAGCAAGGCUCAUUACAGGAUGUUCUAUGGAAUACUGUCCUACACCAGGCUCAAGGGAAACAGAGUUUGGGGUAGGAUUUGAUCGGAAGAGAUCGCACACCAUUCUAUCUCCUUGGAGUUUUGAAACAUACAUUGAAAGUUUUAAUAAAUUCUGUAACAAAGAAACCCAUUUGACUGGAUUUUCUAAGCCCAUCAGACCACGAAUCCAGACUGUCCUCACAUAACCAGUCUUCCCCAAACAUCCGAGGUAAAGGCUAAAGUCCGUGACAAAUUUGGUGACAGAUUUUGGUUAGAAAUUGUUCAGCUGGGUCCUGGUGUGGAGAAGCCAAAAGACCCCAUUCCACCCUUCACUUUGCAAGGCAUCCUGUGGCUCUUCAGCAUGUGUGCAUGACGGGAUCGAUGGGCUUUUGACCUCCAGUUUGAACCAUCCCACAGAUGGCAGAGAGACAAAGCAGUGUGCUCUUUAUUUGUGAUUUUGACAUGUGUGCUUUGGGGGAUACUGGGAAUGUUGUAAUUUUCCAGAGCAAACUUUGACAUUUUGUUUCUGGGUCACAGAGAAAGCACUACCUCUCAUCACCAAUUACUGUUUUCCUCAAAUCCAUGCUAUUUUUGUCCAGUUUCCUUUGAAAUACCAGAACAAAUGCUAAGCCUUUGGUUUUUCCUCUUGUCAUUCAAAUGAAUGGUACAGAUUUUUUUGGGGGGUGGGGUGGGGAGUCUUACCUUGGGUUCAAGUUGUCCUUCAGAACACAUGAGUGGCUCUCAAAAGCCAACUCUUCUCCCAGCACUUGCCUCGUUGCUAGAAUCACAGCUCUUACUUCUUUCAUGACAGUGUCACCAACUGUUUACUUGGAUGAUCAUCGAUAUCUGUACCUUGUUUAAUUUUCAGGGUCACACUCUCGCUUUUGAUAUCAUUUGUGUCCAAUCAAAUCUCCUUUUAUGUAUUUACAGUUUACAUGAGAAACUGACUUCACGUGGUCAUUGAUGCUCUUCACUCCAGCUAAUGGUCAUUUCUUUUUAGGCCAGUGCGUCGUAAUGCAGUCCUCUGUUAAGGCUGCUAGAACAAGAUCAGUUUAGACAAUGUUGAGAUUAAUGCUGUUGCAAGUUGAAACAAGUUGUGACAUGCUGGGAAACACUCUGAGUCCGAUUUUUUAAUUUACAAAUGAAGGGUGUUAGACUCAAAUCUUUUCAGGUCUCUUUGGAGAACUUUAUGCUUCUGUAUGUUGCUAAGCUCAGGACUCUUCUAUUUCCUUAAGUAAUAUGAUAGCAUUUUUAAUCACCUAUCAUUCAUUAAAUUCAUCUAAAAUGUUUGAGAUCCAAUUACUUUUCAAUUUACUGCAACUCCUUCAGCAAAAAAUUCUGUUUACUCGCUACACACCAAGUUCCAGUUUGACUCUCGUCCCCAUACCUUGCAUGUGUGGUGGCUGCAUGCAUAAGGGCACAAAUAACACUCCCUGGGCUUGUGAAAAGUUUCUAAGCAAGCUUUAAGGGAAAUCCCAGACAACUGCAUUUCAAUAGGAUAUUGUGCCAAGAACAUACAGCACCGAGCACAUGAGGAAGAGAAGAGCACACACCUGAGCAUGGAUGAAGUGAGGAUAAACCCACAAAAUAAGGAUCCUCUGUGAAUUUAGUUUUCUGAAGAUCUUUGUAAUACUCAGGAAAAUCUAGGUAAGAGGGCAACUUUACCUUAGAAAUCAAUUUGCACAGGAGUAAAUUGGGGCCAUAACUUAUUUGAAGAGUCUUGAGCAUCCCUGGAAGGUCACUAUAAUUGGAUACCUGGCGUGGCCAGAGAGGCAUCACCACUGUUCAGCAGGAAAUGAUGAACGCCGUGAUUUGGGAGCUCUGUCAAUAUUUGUGUGCAGUCAAUGAAGAAGGGAAGAAGUAGAAGGCAAGUGACGGUGGGGGCUAGUUUCAAGGUGAAGACACCCUAAAGCGACAAUUCUGGAGAGACAUUACAGAGGACAGCUAAGAGUUUGGUUAUAGAUGGGACGAGAGGAUGGGAGAGACAGGAGGCAAAGAUAACUCGCUUUCUGA
rnacentral:lncRNA from 1 species